GACGAACGCUGGCGGCGUGCUUAACACAUGCAAGUCGAACGGUAAGGCUCCAGCUUGCUGGGGUACACGAGUGGCGAACGGGUGAGUAACACGUGGGUGACCUGCCCUGCACUUCGGGAUAAGCCUGGGAAACUGGGUCUAAUACCGGAUAGGACUGCACCGUGAGGGUGUGGUGGAAAGUUUUUUCGGUGUGGGAUGGGCCCGCGGCCUAUCAGCUUGUUGGUGGGGUAAUGGCCUACCAAGGCGGCGACGGGUAGCCGGCCUGAGAGGGUGGACGGCCACAUUGGGACUGAGACACGGCCCAGACUCCUACGGGAGGCAGCAGUAGGGAAUAUUGCACAAUGGGCGGAAGCCUGAUGCAGCGACGCCGCGUGGGGGAUGACGGCCUUCGGGUUGUAAACUCCUUUCACCAUCGACGAAGGGUUUCUGACGGUAGAUGGAGGAGAAGCACCGGCUAACUACGUGCCAGCAGCCGCGGUAAUACGUAGGGUGCGAGCGUUGUCCGGAAUUACUGGGCGUAAAGAGCUCGUAGGUGGUUUGUCGCGUCGUCUGUGAAAUUCCGGGGCUUAACUCCGGGCGUGCAGGCGAUACGGGCAUAACUUGAGUACUGUAGGGGAGACUGGAAUUCCUGGUGUAGCGGUGAAAUGCGCAGAUAUCAGGAGGAACACCGGUGGCGAAGGCGGGUCUCUGGGCAGUAACUGACGCUGAGGAGCGAAAGCAUGGGGAGCGAACAGGAUUAGAUACCCUGGUAGUCCAUGCCGUAAACGGUGGGCGCUAGGUGUGGGUUUCCUUCCACGGGAUCCGUGCCGUAGCUAACGCAUUAAGCGCCCCGCCUGGGGAGUACGGCCGCAAGGCUGAAACUCAAAGGAAUUGACGGGGGCCCGCACAAGCGGCGGAGCAUGUGGAUUAAUUCGAUGCAACGCGAAGAACCUUACCUGGGCUUGACAUAUACAGGAUCGCGCCAGAGAUGGUGUUUCCCUUGUGGCUUGUAUACAGGUGGUGCAUGGUUGUCGUCAGCUCGUGUCGUGAGAUGUUGGGUUAAGUCCCGCAACGAGCGCAACCCUUGUCUUAUGUUGCCAGCACGUUGUGGUGGGGACUCGUAAGAAACUGCCGGGGUUAACUCGGAGGAAGGUGGGGAUGACGUCAAAUCAUCAUGCCCCUUAUGUCCAGGGCUUCACACAUGCUACAAUGGUCGGUACAGUGGGUUGCCAGUCCGUGAGGGCGAGCUAAUCCCGCAAAGCCGGUCUCAGUUCGGAUCGGGGUCUGCAACUCGACCCCGUGAAGUCGGAGUCGCUAGUAAUCGCAGAUCAGCAACGCUGCGGUGAAUACGUUCCCGGGCCU
rnacentral:rRNA from 1 species